GAUGAACGCUGGCGGCGUGCCUAAUACAUGCAAGUCGAGCGAACAGACGAGGAGCUUGCUCCUCUGACGUUAGCGGCGGACGGGUGAGUAACACGUGGAUAACCUACCUAUAAAACUGGGAUAACUUCGGGAAACCGGAGCUAAUACCGGAUAAUAUAUUGAACCGCAUGGUUCAAUAGUGAAAGACGGUUUUGCUGUCACUUAUAGAUGGAUCCGCGCCGCAUUAGCUAGUUGGUAAGGUAACGGCUUACCAAGGCAACGAUGCGUAGCCGACCUGAGAGGGUGGUCGGCCACACUGGAACUGAGACACGGUCCAGACUCCUACGGGAGGCAGCAGUAGGGAAUCUUCCGCAAUGGGCGAAAGCCUGACGGAGCAACGCCGCGUGAGUGAUGAAGGUCUUCGGAUCGUAAAACUCUGUUAUUAGGGAAGAACAAAUGUGUAAGUAACUAUGCACGUCUUGACGGUACCUAAUCAGAAAGCCACGGCUAACUACGUG
rnacentral:rRNA from 1 species